UACAGAGGGGGCAAGCGUUGUUCGGAAUUACUGGGCGUAAAGGGCGCGUAGGCGGCCGCCUAAGUCAGACGUGAAAUCCCUCGGCUCAACCCGGGAACUGCGUCCGAUACUGGAAGGCUUGAAUCCGGGAGAGGGAUGUGGAAUUCCGAGUGUAGAGGUGAAAUUCGUAGAUAUUCGGAAGAACACCAGUGGCGAAGGCGACACACUGGCCCGUAACUGACGCUGAGGCGCGAAAGCGUGGGGAGCAAACAGG
rnacentral:rRNA from 1 species